UACGUAGGGGGCAAGCGUUGUCCGGAUUUAUUGGGCGUAAAGAGCUCGUAGGCGGCUCAGUAAGUCGGGUGUGAAACCUCCAGGCUCAACCUGGAGACGCCACUCGAUACUGCUGUGGCUUGAGUCCGGUAGGGGAGCACGGAAUUCCUGGUGUAGCGGUGAAAUGCGCAGAUAUCAGGAGGAACACCGGUGGCGAAGGCGGGUCUCUGGGCCGAUACUGACGCUGAGGAGCGAAAGCGUGGGGAGCGAACAGG
rnacentral:rRNA from 1 species